CGGAUUGUUUCUUUGUAACUCCAAAGAAAAAUCUUGAGCCACACAGUUUGUUUAGUUCUAAUUGUCGAUAACGGUUCUUCUUCACCCCUCUGCAGAUUCUCUCGGACAAAUCCGACACAAAGGUUUCAUCUUUAAUCGAUUUUCAUUAGAAAUUAAGAUCAAAGUUUCGAACUUUACGCUUCUGGUAGUUAGUUUCCUCAGGAAAGUAUGCGUCUUGGAAUGUUGAUUUAGCUCAUUUUGUGUGAUCAAGAAAUGGGUUUUGCGGUUUGUGUUGGUAAUGCAUCUCUUGCAUCUAUGGAACUGAGGUGGGUGAGAAGAAGCAAAUGUGAUGAUGCUCCUCGUUCGAUACCAAUUUUUAUCUCUACGCUGAAGAAAGACGUUAAUCUAGAGGAGCUGAGGCAUUUGUAUUCACGUUGUGACCACUCUUGCAACCGUUUGGCUAAGAAUGGUAAUGGCAUCGUUGACAUGAAGAAGCUGCGUACAGCUAUCUCCCAUAGCGAUGUUGUUGUCUCUGUGUUUUGCAAACCUCAUCACACGGUACUUGUUGAAGAUGAUGAACAAGAAAGUUUGUCUUCCAAACAAAACAAGGAUGAGAGUUCUCUGGGAGAUAUGUUUCAGGACGUGUUGCCUCUCGCUCCUUCAAAUGGUCAGCUUGUUGGGUUUGGUCGUGCCUAUUCUGAUUAUGGCUUGACCGCUUCUAUUCACGAUCUAAUGUGUCUUCCAGGUUUUACCUUCACUUCAACGAAUGGGGAUUGGUAAACUGAUUGUUAACAGAAUCACCAGGCUUCUCACAAGUAGAGACAUCUACGACAUAGCAGCUCUCUGCUUCGAGCAUGAAAGGCCAUUCUUUAAAGCCUGUGGGUUUGCAGAUGACAGAAUGGGUUCCACAACGAUGAUGUUCACAAAGAGCUUAGAGGCCUGAUCUAAACCGAGAAGAAGGCCGUUGGAUCUUCUCAAACUAUAGGUCAAAGCAAGUUGAAUGAUCUUUAGACAAAAAUCUUUUAUGAAUCUCUCUCUCUCUGUGAUGGUCAGAGAAGAAAAGCCAAAGAUUCAGUGUCUUUUUUUUUGCAUUUUUGGAUUUGAUGUCUUGUGACAAACUCGUUUUUCACUUCUCUCAUGUCGUGUAAAGCAACGAAUAUAAGUUAGAUUCGGACUAUUAUUACUCUGUUUCGAGA